AUUGCUUCUCAAACUUUUGGCUAAGAUCAAGUGUAGUAUCUGUUCUUAUCAGUUUAAAAUGUUAAUGUGAAAUGUAAAAAUUAUUCCAUCUUCAUUUGUAGUGUGAAACAGCUUUUUAGUACUAAGCUUGAUUUCAAAAUAACCACCAUUUUCGGGGCACCUGGGUGUCUCAGUCAGCUGAGUGUCU